AGAAAUCCAAAAAAAAAGCACAAACUAAAGAAAGAAGAGAAAGCUACAAAGUUUUUGAUUCAUCCGAUCCAAUAAGCUCAUUCAAAAGCCCAUUGAUUCUCCUUACGAACUGCUUCUUCUUCCUCAGGUGUAAAAUCAUUCUCAAUGUUGAACAGUGUACGAAUCUCCUCUGGAGUUUUGCCCUUGAUCAUAUCCGCAACUUUUUGGCACGUUAGGUCAAGCAAGCUUUGGAUGUUGAGGUAGUUGGCACCGAGGAUGAGAUCAAAGAGGGUGCUUUGAUCUGUUUCCAGGAACUGCUCGUCCCACUUCUUGAGUUCCUCUUCGGAGUUAGGGUUAGCCUCAUCGACAUGGUGCUUCUUGCAGUACUCGAUCACUAGGGCAAGAGUCUUGCUCGUCACGUUAGCAAGAGGGAUCUCGCUACCAGCGCAGUCGUCUUCAACCAUAUGCGCUAUGGUCUGCGAUUGGAUCGCUACCUUCUCUUCCACCUGGAACGAUUGACCAUCGGAGCUCUUCAACACGAUUAUCUUCGUCGACAUUGUUUGUUUUGAUGAGAAAAAGAUUUUAAAGAAUUGAGUCUUGUAUGAAGUUGUGUGAUUUGUGAAGCCUAUGCGUCUUUGUAUUUAUAAGCCCUAAGAGUCGAUGGGAUCAACACAUUCCUUUUUUGAUAAGGAAAUAGUUAUUUGUACGUGUCCUUUUCAGAAAAGGUAAUUUGAGUGGUGUAAACCGAGAUAAACCGGGUUAAUUUUACAUUUUGGUAGGCUCGAGAACUUUCAGAUUCGUUGGUGUGAUCAACAUUUCCUUUUUUUUUUUGUUAAAUAAGAAAACUUGUAUCAACAAUUCCUUUUCAGUAAAGGUAAUUACAGUGUUCGGCUCAAUUCUUUUCUUAUGAACCAAGAUUAUAAAAGUACUAAUCAAAAUAUUAACAUCUAUAAGAAACCAAAAGAAGACUAGCGGAAAUAGCCGUUACAAGAAGUAAGAGUAAUGGUAAUAAAAUUAGUCCAAGAGCUAAUUGAGCCAUUACAUGUUUACAUGGAAGACUAGGAACAUAAAGACGCACGCAACUGUUGUAAUCCAUAAUCAAAUUCAGAUUCAAAGAUUUUCCAUUAAGAAAAACCAACUACUAUAAUGCAUUUCUUUCAAUAUGGUUGAUAUAUAUUAAAGAGGUUAUGGGCCAAAACCCAUACAUCCCAUCAGCUCCGAGACCAAAACAUAUUAUAUAGUAUAGUCACAAGCGCUACUCAAAGAUUUUUCAUUGAGAAAAACCAACUAGUAUAAUGCAUUUUGUUCAAUAUGGCUGAUACUAGAAUACUAAAGUAUGAUCAUCCUUAAAACAAAUCACAGUAGAUGAUGAAAAUGGAUCCUUGCCUUCAACAAACAGAUCAAAAGCAAUUAUCAAUCACUAGGUCUUUGUUACAAUUAGUAACAUACACUGAUACACAAGUCUAGUCAUCUAUUGGUAUAUACUAUAUAGGCUGCGCGCCUAGUAAAUAGACUAGUCUAGUCAUCUCGUUAGGACCAGGACCAAAAGCAAAAACUUCUACGUACAUUGAAAAAUUUGCAUGCCGUAGGAGUUACAUGAAGACUAAAGCCAAUAUUUUACACAGCCGUAUUGAAAGGGUUAACACUAACACUUUAAAGAUACCUUCUAGAUAAACUUAAUUCAUACUUCGUAUGAUUAAGGUUCAUUACUUCUCAUUUUGAUGGAUACACUAUGUUGAGGAAAACUAUCAAACAAAAUCCAGCAGUUUCGCAAAGAAAAAUUUGAGCUGAAAAUUUUGAUUUGUUUAAAUUUCAACAUAUCUUAACGAAACUCAUAAACUUUCAGAAUUUUAUGACGUUAUAGGUACUAAAAUAAAAUUGGGAACCACAAUCUGAUAAAUACAAUUAAAAGUAUAACCGUACUUUGUAGUAUAUUACUUGAUAAACCAUUGAAAAUAAAUAUAAAAUUGGAUUACGAAAAAGGUAUAUCUCUUGGAAAAAUUGAAAAGACUAUAUAUAUAUUUAGACGUUAUCAGAAAAAUCAAAUCUCUUUUUUUUUUUGGAUCAACAAUAGGUUAAUCAAAUCUCUUUUAUUAAGAUAGAUUAAUAAAUACUUGAUAUUUCAAAUUCGUUUUUACUAAAUUAACUGAAAUCAAUACAAAUAUAAAUAUGAUAGUUUUAUGUGUCAUCCAAACUGAACCUGAGAAUUUGCAUGGGAAACAAAGAAUUUAGAGCGUUUUUUUUGCUAAACAGUAGACACAUAUGUUUUUAUCCCUAGGGAUAGGAAAAAAUUAGAAUUGAGAAAAUUUAACUCUAUGGAAAAGGUUUGUUCCAUACUAUCCAAUGUAACACCUAAUACUAAUUGGUGAUAUUAUGAGCUAAAUAAGAAACACAACAUAACAUUGUUGGGAGCAUUAAUUUGAUUAAUAAUGAUUUCAUAAGAGACAUAUGAAAUGCAACACAUUAUCCAACCAGUCAACUUCUCACUGAAACCAAGUUAUCUCAUCAAAGCUUCAAUAGCAUUCUAUUCAACCCAAACGAUCAUACAUAUUGUUCAUAUAUGUCUAGAUGGCCACAAAUUUCUGUAUGCAACUCGGGUUGGUACGUAGAGCGUGGAAGUUUUCUUGCACAAGCUUAUGUGAUUAGAUGUCUAGCCAUAAAGGCUGAUUGUGUCUAUAUGAGCUAGAUUACACUGAAAGCAUAUUUUAAAGGUGUUUUCGUAAAACUUUGGAGAUGAUUUUGUAAAUUACGUUACAUAGGCUUAUGAGUCUAAACUCGGUCAUCAUGCUUGGUAUCUCCUUUUUUCAGAUCAAGAUGUUUCUUUCGUUUAAUCUUGAGGCAGUCAAAUCUUUAACCGUUUGAAUAAAAGUCCUUCCCCAUAACUAUCCAAAAGUGUUGAUAUAUAGAAGAGUCUAGUCAUCUCGUUAGGACCCCCCGGAGCUUAUUUUUUCUGGAUGGCAAACAAAGAUUCAUUUGUCUUUACACUAUAACUUUCUCGGUAACGUAUGUCUUAGACUCCUUAAAUAAAAUUUUGGAAAUACUUAAUACAAAAUAUGUACUUGGAUUACAUUUUGGUUUUGUUGAAAUUUCUUGGUGGGCAUUUUUUCCAUCUUUGAAAUUUUUUUCCCCAAAGCUUUUUUUUUCUCUUCUCACCGAUAUAGGUAUAUAAAUAUGAUAAAAUAGUACAAAGCUCAACAUCUAUCUAUUUUCUUAACAAACAACAAUGGGAAAUAAAUGCCCUGCUUUGAUGAUAUACCUCUCUUGUUCUCUUCUUCUUGUCCUUCAAACAGUCCAUGGUGAUAACCCUGUCAGGUGUUUCGGAAGCUUCUUCAACGGCAAUGGAAGCUACGUUCAGAAUCGCCAGAAACUCUUCUCUGAUCUUGCUAAUCAAGUCGUCGCCAACGGUGGAUUCUACAACGCUUCACUCGGCCAAAAUCCCAACAGAGUUUACGCUCUUGCCAUCUGCGCAAGAGGCUACGACCAAGAAGCUUGUCUCAGUUGUGUCCAAACGUUGGCUCAGCUUACACUAAAAUAUUGUCCAAGCCGCAUGGAUUCGUUCAUAUGGGGAGGCGCUGAGAACGAAGUUUCUUGUUUUUUACGUUCCUCAAACCACUCAACCUUUGGGAAGCUACUGCUUGGACCUUCUCUUAUGUACCCAAAUCCUGAUACUAUCGAGGGAUCUAAAAACAUGACCCUUUUCGAACAAGAGUGGGACGAAAUGGUUAAUCGGACUCUCAAGGCUGCCACUAAUGCUAAAAAUUCCUCGGUACUUAGGUACUACAGUGCUGAAAAAGCCGGAUUCACGGAGUUUCCAGAUGUUUACAUGAUGAUGCAAUGCAUACCCGACAUAACUCCCCAAGAAUGCAAACAAUGUUUGGAACAUUGCUUGAUGUAUUACAGAAAAGAUUAUCAAGGAAGAAGAGGAGGCAUGUCUAGUCUUCCUAGCUGUUUUUUCAGGUGGGAUCAACACUCUUUCCACAAUGCUUUUGAUAACGUUACAGGAAUUCCUGCGCCUCCUCGACCUCCGGCUCAGGAAAAGGAGAGCUCCAAAACAGAUACAAAAGGUAAAACGAAAGAGUUAUAUAGAAUUGCCACACUUUGUAAUCGAGAUAACAAUAUUCCACAUUGGAAGCUCGAUAAGGAUCCUAACAGUAUAUAAGAUAUAUGUGCCUCUCCACUAAUUGCCAAUUGGUUUUAUGUUGGAAGCUCAUAUGUCUUACAUACUAUCAUGAUCUUUAUCCAGCUUCCGAUGUAGGAUGUUGUUAUCCCUCGUGAUGAAGAUGUUCUCAAACUAAAAUUUGUUAAUAAUUUGCAGAAAGAAGCAGUGGAAAUCGCGGUAGUAUAGCAAUAUUUGCGGCUCUUACGUUCACUAACAUUUUAGUGUUUAUUGGCUUUAUGAAAGUCUUUGCAAGGAGGGGAAAAUAUAAAAAUGGUAACGUUACCUUGCUUGCUUUAAUCAACCUUAUGAUGUAGAGAGUAAAGGCUUAUUUCUGUUUUUUUUUUAGUUGGUAGCGCAGAGUACUCUGAUUCUAAUGGUCAAUUCAUGUUACGGUUUGAUCUCCAUAUGAUCUUAAUGGCAACUGAUGACUUCUCUUCUGAUAAUACGAUUGGCCAAGGUGGAUUUGGUAUUGUCUAUAAGGUAACAGUACCUUUUUUCCUAAUAAUGUGUUCUUGAUCAACCAAGGUCUUUUAGGUGUAAAUAGAUCUUGAAAAUGGGUUUCAGGGGACCUUCCCAAACGGGCAAGAGGUAGCGGUGAAGAGAUUAGCAAAAGGUUCAGGACAAGGAGAUAUGGAGUUUAAGAAUGAGGUUUCACUCUUGACAAGACUCCAACAUAAGAAUCUAGUUAAGCUUCUUGGGUUCUGUAAUGAGGAAGAUGAAGUGAUUCUUGUCUACGAGUUUGUCCCCAAUGCAAGUCUUGACAACUUCAUCUUCGGUGAGACUUUCGAUAAGAGUAUCGCAUUUUGGAUAGUUUUAGAACUUCUAAGCAAGAUUUUAUUUCUUUGAAACUCUACAGAUGAUGAAAAGCGUUCACUUCUUACAUGGGAAGUGAGAUUCAGAAUUAUCGAAGGCAUUGCUCGAGGUCUUGUUUAUCUUCAUGAAGAUUCUCAGCUGAAGAUUAUUCACCGAGACUUGAAGCCAAGCAACAUCCUUUUAGACGCUGAGAUGAACCCUAAAGUUGCAGAUUUUGGGACAGCAAGGUUGUUCGACACUGACGAGACUCGAGCUGAAACUAAAAGAAUAGCUGGAACCCGGUAAGAAAUAUAUUAUAUGCUCUGCUUUUAAAAACAGAGUCUUUUAGACAUUUAAAUGCUCUGUUUUUAAAACAGAGUCUUGUAGACAUUUAAAGAAUCAUCAAUUAAUGUCAUUGGUUUGCGUAUAUGCAGUGGAUAUAUGGCUCCUGAGUACCUGAAUCACGGGCAAAUCUCAGCUAAAUCUGACGUUUAUAGCUUCGGUGUCAUGCUUCUAGAGAUGAUAAUUGGUGAAAGAAACAAUAACUUUAAAGGAGAAGGACUUGGAUCUUUUGUAAGCUUCUUCACAUAUCAGUCUUUGCUCCAAUUUCUUUUUAAUCUUCAAACCUCUGUGUACAAAAAGUAACAAUACAUAUUUUCUUGGUGUAGGCAUGGAAGAGAUGGGUUGAAGGAAAGCCUGAGAGUAUAAUUGAUCCUUUCUUGAUAGCGGAUCCGAGAAACGAGAUCAUCAAGUUGAUCCAGAUUGGUUUGUUGUGUGUACAAGAGAAUGCAGCAAAGAGACCAACAAUGAGCUCUGUGAUCAUUUGGCUUGACAGUGAUACUAUUAUUAUUCCUUUACCUAAUGCACCUGCUUUCACUGGAAGUCCAUCCCAAUCUGAAAGUAGUACAAUGUCAAUGAGCAGCGAUGGCUUCACGGAGUUGAGUUGUCGUUGAGCUGUAAUUCAGUUCAUCAGAAUCUGGUUUCCGAAAGAAAACUAAUGUAAUACAUUGUAUUUUGUGGUCUUGGUCAUGAACUCAUCAUGAUCAUGAUCAAAGAACUUUCAUUUUAUCUUUUGGUCUUGAGUUAUUUUCUCUUUAAGUAAUGUUACAUUUUUUUAAAUGGUUUUGUAAUGAUGAUGGUCUAUAUAUGUUUUGAUCCUCGAAUGGUUCAACAGCAACCAAUGAUAUCUCUACUUGAAUAUUAGUUUCCCUAAGUUGGAUUUGGAUCUGUCUACAACGUAAAGAACCUCUAAAAACUCUUAUCACAAUCCUUAGAUGGAUCACAUGAAGACUAAAACAAUAUUUUUUCACAACCGUAUUUGAAAGGGUAAUAACACUUAAAACUUUUAGAUAACUUAUAGAUAAAGGUAAGUAAAAGAAAAGAUUGGUUUUAUUAUCCUUGAAAUCAUAAAAGAAGAAAGAAACACAAAUCAUAAAAUAAAAGUAGAGACAAAGUCAUCAUCAUCAUCUACAUUGAUCAAGAAAUCCAAAAAAAAAGCACAAACUAAAGAAAGAAGAGAAAGCUACAAAGUUUUUGAUUCAUCCGAUCCAAUAAGCUCAUUCAAAAGCCCAUUGAUUCUCCUUACGAACUGCUUCUUCUUCCUCAGGUGUAAAAUCAUUCUCAAUGUUGAACAGUGUACGAAUCUCCUCUGGAGUUUUGCCCUUGAUCAUAUCCGCAACUUUUUGGCACGUUAGGUCAAGCAAGCUUUGGAUGUUGAGGUAGUUGGCACCGAGGAUGAGAUCAAAGAGGGUG
rnacentral:lncRNA from 1 species